GACAGAGGUGCCGAGCGUUAGGCGGAAUCACUGGGCUUAAAGCGUGUGUAGGCGGGCCGUUAAGUAUCUUGUGAAAUCCCCCUGCUCAACCGGGGAAUGGCUGGAUAUACUGGCGGUCUUGAGCGAUCUAGGGGCAGAUGGAACAAGUGGUGGAGCGGUGAAAUGCGUAGAUAUCACUUGGAACGCCAAAGGUGAAAACAGUCUGCUGGGGAUCUGCUGACGCUGAGACACGAAAGCCAGGGGAGCGAACGGG
rnacentral:rRNA from 1 species